AGUCGAACGGCAGCGGGGGCUUCGGCCUGCCGGCGAGUGGCGAACGGGUGAGUAAUGCAUCGGAACGUGCCCAUGUCGUGGGGGAUAACGUAGCGAAAGCUACGCUAAUACCGCAUACGUCCUGAGGGAGAAAGCGGGGGAUCUUCGGACCUCGCGCGAUUGGAGCGGCCGAUGUCGGAUUAGCUAGUUGGUGGGGUAAAGGCCCACCAAGGCGACGAUCCGUAGCGGGUCUGAGAGGAUGAUCCGCCACACUGGGACUGAGACACGGCCCAGACUCCUACGGGAGGCAGCAGUGGGGAAUUUUGGACAAUGGGCGCAAGCCUGAUCCAGCCAUGCCGCGUGAGUGAAGAAGGCCUUCGGGUUGUAAAGCUCUUUCGGCCGGGAAGAAAUCGUGUUCUCUAACAUAGGACAUGGAUGACGGUACCGGACUAAGAAGCACCGGCUAACUACGUGCCAGCAGCCGCGGUAAUACGUAGGGUGCGAGCGUUAAUCGGAAUUACUGGGCGUAAAGCGUGCGCAGGCGGUUUGCUAAGAUAGGUGUGAAAUCCCCGUGCUUAACCUGGGAACUGCGCUUGUGACUGGCAGGCUAGAGUACGGCAGAGGGCGGGUGGAAUUCCUGGUGUAGC
rnacentral:rRNA from 1 species